ACCAGUGUGGUCCAGUGGUUUGCGUGUUGGACUCUGAUUCUGGAGACCAGGGUUCAAAUUCCCCUCUCUGCCA